UGAGCAAUCUGCCCUUCUCAUCGGAAUAAGCGUUGGAAACGACGUCUAAUGCCGAAUACGACCUCCUUUCACAUGAUCGGAGGUGGAAAGCUCCGGCGGAGAAGGAUGAGCUCGCGGCCUAUCAGCUAGUUGGUGAGGUAACGGCUCACCAAGGCGACGACGGGUAGCUGGUCUGAGAGGAUGGCCAGCCACAUUGGGACUGAGACACGGCCCAGAUCCUACGGG
rnacentral:rRNA from 1 species